GAUGAACGCUGACAGAAUGCUUAACACAUGCAAGUCGAUGGGGAAGUGGUGCUUGCCCCAUGGCAACCAUGGCGGACGGGUGAGUAACGCGUAAGGGACUUACCUGCAGGACUGGGAUAACAGGGGGAAACUCCUGACAAGACCGGAUAAUGUCAUGGAGCUGCAUGGCUUUAUGAUGAAAGGAGACGCCUGCGGAGAGCCUUGCGUCCUAUUAGCUAGUUGGUGAGGUAAUGGCUCACCAAGGCGAAGAUAGGUAGCCGGCCUGAGAGGGUGGACGGCCACAAGGGGACUGAGAUACGGCACUUACUCCUACGGGAGGCAGCAGUGGGGAAUAUUGGACAAUGGGGGCAACCCUGAUCCAGCAAUUCUGUGUGCACGAAGAAGGUUUUCGGAGUGUAAAGUGCUUUCAGCAGGGAAGAGGUAAGUGACGGUACCUGCAGAAGAAGCGACGGCUAAAUACGUG
rnacentral:rRNA from 1 species